rnacentral:rRNA from 1 species
GACGAACGCUGCGGCGUGCCUAAUACAUGCAAGUCGAACGCUUUUUCUUUCACCGGAGCUUGCUCCACCGAAAGAAAAAGAGUGGCGAACGGGUGAGUAACACGUGGGUAACCUGCCCAUCAGAAGGGGAUAACACUUGGAAACAGGUGCUAAUACCGUAUAACACUAUUUUCCGCAUGGGAGAAAGUUGAAAGGCGCUUUUGCGUCACUGAUGGAUGGACCCGCGGUGCAUUAGCUAGUUGGUGAGGUAACGGCUCACCAAGGCAACGAUGCAUAGCCGACCUGAGAGGGUGAUCGGCCACACUGGGACUGAGACACGGCCCAGACUCCUACGGGAGGCAGCAGUAGGGAAUCUUCGGCAAUGGACGAAAGUCUGACCGAGCAACGCCGCGUGAGUGAAGAAGGUUCUCGGAUCGUAAAACUCUGUUGUUAGAGAAGAACAAGGAUGAGAGUAAAAUGUUCAUCCCUUGACGGUAUCUAACCAGAAAGCCACGGCUAACUACGUGCCAGCAGCCGCCGUAA